CUCGUUUUAAAUCUCUGAUCUUCAUUUCGACAGAACAGAGGAAGAUGCAUGUGUCUGAGGAGCUGUGUGUUAUAUGCCAGGGCAAAAAUAGUAGAAGAAACAAAGGUAUCAAAACAACACAGCCUAAAUCCUCUUCAAGGCUCUUUUAGACCAGAAGCAAUACAGAAGAGGGUAAAAAAAAAACAAAACAACAAAACAAGAAGAAAAGAAAGAGACUGGAGAAAACUGAUUUUGCAUUACCCACCAGAUCAGUGGCUGAUCCAAAAAGGAAAUCCAAGCCGUUUAGUUCCUAAUGUAUUGCUUCACUCAAUAGACUAGGUUGUCACCAUGAGAUAGUCUGUAUUUUCUCCUCCAAGAGAAGAAAGUAGAAGUUACUUUGCUAAGACAAUAUCUGCCCAUGAAAAUUGUGCACAACAUCUUACCAAGCACCUGUUUCUCAUUACUCUGUAGCCAAUGUAUGGCAACCAAAUUUAUCAAGAUCCAGCCAGAAGAUACUCAAACGGAGGUUUCUGAUUUAAUGUGAGGUUGAAGGGGUUGCCCACUUUCAACAGUCUUGCUUUCCAUAGUGAAAGGUUACUUGGUAGAUUGAUUUUAGCAGUAAAAGAUUACCUGGAGAUUGUUCCAGGACUGCAAUGGCAUCCUUAACAGCAUUCAUAAGAACACACUUGAGCCUCCUUCCUAAGAGAUUUAAUUCCUUAAAAUAUUUACUUAUAAAUUUGGAUCAAGGGGGAGAACAAAUUUAAGCACCAGAGUCACAAGCUCAUGAAAUAUUAUACUCAAUGGAAGAAUAAAAUCAUGUCAGAUCACUAAAUUUCAUAAAUAUUUUACCCUUUCUUGAGGUUUCAUUUCUGAGAUACAAGUUCUAUACAAAUUCCGA